CCUACGGGGGGCAGCAGUGGGGAAUAUUGGACAAUGGGGGCAACCCUGAUCCAGCCAUGCCGCGUGUGUGAAGAAGGCCCUCGGGUUGUAAAGCACUUUCAGUGAGGAAGAACGCCUGGUGGUUAAUACCCAUCAGGAAAGACAUCACUCACAGAAGAAGCACCGGCUAACUCCGUGCCAGCAGCCGCGGUAAUACGGAGGGUGCGAGCGUUAAUCGGAAUUACUGGGCGUAAAGCGCGCGUAGGUGGCUUGAUAAGCCGGUUGUGAAAGCCCCGGGCUCAACCUGGGAACGGCAUCCGGAACUGUCAAGCUAGAGUGCAGGAGAGGAAGGUAGAAUUCCCGGUGUAGCGGUGAAAUGCGUAGAGAUCGGGAGGAAUACCAGUGGCGAAGGCGGCCUUCUGGACUGACACUGACACUGAGGUGCGAAAGCGUGGGUAGCAAACAGGAUUAGAUACCCUGGGAGUC
rnacentral:rRNA from 1 species